CCCUGCUAUACUUUAUAUAGAAAUUUGUGACCUGGGUAGUAAAUAGUUAUGGUCUAUAAAUCUAAAGGAUUUGGCGGUAUUCAAGUCUAGUUAGAGGAGCCUGUACUUUAAACGAUGAUCCACGAAUAAUCUUACUUUAUCUUGUUUAGUCUGUAUACCGUCAUUAUGAAGUAAUAUCUAAAGUUAUUUAACUGAGAUGGAAAGGUUUUAUUUAUAUUAGAUCAAGGUGCAGCUGAUGGUAAAGUGGUUAUGGGCUACAGUAUUAUAUAAGUAGUACGGAUAAAAAUUUGAAAUAGGUUUUGGAAGGUGGAUUUAAUAGUAAAUUUAUAUAUAAUAAGGUAUAUUGAUAAAAGCUCUUGAAUAUGUACAUAUCGCCC
rnacentral:rRNA from 1 species